AACGUACGAUGAACCGGCUUCGGCCGGGGAUUAGUGGCGAACGGGUGAGUAACACGUGGGCAAUCUGCCCUGCACUCUGGGACAAGCCCUGGAAACGGGGUCUAAUACCGGAUACUGAUUACCUUGGGCAUCCUUGGUGAUCGAAAGCUCCGGCGGUGCAGGAUGAGCCCGCGGCCUAUCAGCUUGUUGGUGAGGUAACGGCUCACCAAGGCGACGACGGGUAGCCGGCCUGAGAGGGCGACCGGCCACACUGGGACUGAGACACGGCCCAAACUCCUACGGGAGGCAGCAGUGGGGAAUAUUGCACAAUGGGCGAAAGCCUGAUGCAGCGACCCCGCGUGAGGGAUGACGGCCUUCGGGUUGUAAACCUCUUUCAGCAGGGAAGAAGCGAAAGUGACGGUACCUGCAGAAAAAGCGCCGGCUAACUACGUGCCAGCAGCCGCGGUAAUACGUAGGGCGCAAGCGUUGUCCGGAAUUAUUGGGCGUAAAGAGCUCGUAGGCGGCUUGUCGCGUCGGUUGUGAAAGCCCGGGGCUUAACCCCGGGUCUGCAGUCGAUACGGGCAGGCUAGAGUUCGGUAGGGGAGAUCGGAAUUCCUGGUGUAGCGGUGAAAUGCGCAGAUAUCAGGAGGAACACCGGUGGCGAAGGCGGAUCUCUGGGCCGAUACUGACGCUGAGGAGCGAAAGCGUGGGGAGCGAACAGGAUUAGAUACCCUGGUAGUCCACGCCGUAAACGGUGGGCACUAGGUGUGGGCAACAUUCCACGUUGUCCGUGCCGCAGCUAACGCAUUAAGUGCCCCGCCUGGGGAGUACGGCCGCAAGGCUAAAACUCAAAGGAAUUGACGGGGGCCCGCACAAGCGGCGGAGCAUGUGGCUUAAUUUGACGCAACGCGAAGAACCUUACCAAGGCUUGACAUACACCGGAAACAUCCAGAGAUGGGUGCCCCCUUGUGGUCGGUGUACAGGUGGUGCAUGGCUGUCGUCAGCUCGUGUCGUGAGAUGUUGGGUUAAGUCCCGCAACGAGCGCAACCCUUGUCCCGUGUUGCCAGCAGGCCCUUGUGGUGCUGGGGACUCACGGGAGACCGCCGGGGUCAACUCGGAGGAAGGUGGGGACGACGUCAAGUCAUCAUGCCCCUUAUGUCUUGGGCUGCACACGUGCUACAAUGGCCGGUACAAUGAGCUGCGAUACCGCGAGGUGGAGCGAAUCUCAAAAAGCCGGUCUCAGUUCGGAUUGGGGUCUGCAACUCGACCCCAUGAAGUCGGAGUCGCUAGUAAUCGCAGAUCAGCAUUGCUGCGGUGAAUACGUUCCCGGGCCUUGUACACACCGCCCGUCACGUCACGAAAGUCGGUAACACCCGAAGCCGGUGGCCCAACCCCUUGUGGGAGGGAGCUGUCGAUAUGU
rnacentral:rRNA from 1 species